rnacentral:rRNA from 1 species
GACGAACGCUGGCGGCGUGCUUAACACAUGCAAGUCGAACGGUAAGGCCUUCGGGUACACGAGUGGCGAACGGGUGAGUAACACGUGGGUGAUCUGCCCCCUACUCUGGGAUAAGCCUGGGAAACUGGGUCUAAUACCGGAUAUGACCUCCUUCUGCAUGGUUGGUGGUGGAAAGUUUUUUCGGUAGGGGAUGAGCCCGCGGCCUACCAGCUUGUUGGUGGGGUAAUGGCCUACCAAGGCGACGACGGGUAGCCGGCCUGAGAGGGCGACCGGCCACACUGGGACUGAGACACGGCCCAGACUCCUACGGGAGGCAGCAGUGGGGAAUAUUGCACAAUGGGCGAAAGCCUGAUGCAGCGACGCCGCGUGGGGGAUGACGGCCUUCGGGUUGUAAACCCCUUUCAGUCGGGACGAAGCGAGAGUGAUGGUACCGAUAGAAGAAGCACCGGCCAACUACGUGCCAGCAGCCGCAGUAAUAC